rnacentral:rRNA from 1 species
UACGUAGGGGGCAAGCGUUGUCCGGAUUUAUUGGGCGUAAAGAGCGUGUAGGCGGCCAGGUAGGUCUGCUGUGAAAACUCGAGGCUUAACCUCGAGCUGUCGGCGGAAACCAUCUGGCUAGAGUCCGGAAGAGGAGACUGGAAUUCCCGGUGUAGCGGUGAAAUGCGCAGAUAUCGGGAAGAACACCCGUGGCGAAGGCGGUUCUCUGGGACGGUACUGACGCUGAGACGCGAAAGCGUGGGGAGCGAACAGG